UGAGACAGUUCGGUCCCUAUCUGCCGUGGGCGCUGGAGAAUUGAGGGGGGCUGCUCCUAGUACGAGAGGACCGGAGUGGACGCAUCACUGGUGUUCGGGUUGUCAUGCCAAUGGCACUGCCCGGUAGCUAAAUGCGGAAGAGAUAAGUGCUGAAAGCAUCUAAGCACGAAACUUGCCCCGAGAUGAGUUCUCCCUGAGACUUAAAGUCUCCUGAAGGAACGUUGAAGACGACGACGUUGAUAGGUCGGGUGUGUAAGCGCAGCGAUGCGUUGAGCUAACCGAUACUAAUGAACCGUGAGGCUUAACCUUACAACGCCGAAG
rnacentral:rRNA from 1 species